AAUUGACUAUUUUUUUUUUUUAAUUUAAAGAUUUCUCAAGAAAAAAAUGAAAAUUCGAAUAUUGAAGAAAACACUUGAUAAGUUUUCUAUCUAUAGACGCACACAAGAUGCUUGAACUUUUGGGUUGCUCGAGAAGAAGGGAUGGAUUUUCUUUAGGCUGCUCCUUGGUUCCCUUGUUGAAUUGACCACUUAAAAAUACUCCACAGGAGCAC